rnacentral:lncRNA from 1 species
UGUGGCAUUAUUUUGACUUGCCUGUGUGGCAUUGUUUUGAUGUGCCUGUGUGGCAUUAUUUUGGUUGCCUAUGUGACAUCAUUUGAUUCACCUGUGUGGCAUUAUUUUGACUUGCCUGUGUGGCACGGUAUAUUUCUGAGCUCAUUCGGUAUGAAAUAACUCCAGCCAUUUGUUUCAGCCUAUUAUUUUAUUGGAUUAGCUUUGUUGAUUUCUGUUCAAUUCAAGUCAUUGAGUUAGUUACUUCAGUUCGUUAUUUCUUCAUUCUUUUAUUGAUUUCGUCAAUUAUAUUGAUUCAGAUAUAUUUCAUUCAGAUCUUUGGAGAUUAUAUUUUCGUCCGUAUUUACACUUGAGGCUUUGUUUAGUAUUUUGUCUCAGUUAUUUUUGUAUAUCAGUUGUAUAUCUUUUGUAUAUCUGUAUUCGUACUGGG